rnacentral:lncRNA from 1 species
CUCCUCCAUCCGUACGCUGGUAGGAUCCGUAAUGGUACACGCAGCAUCCUGCAGCACAAUGUGGUCUUUAAAUCCGUCGCGUACCGGGAUGUUUUGAACAGGACUGAACUGUCACCGGACCGGGAUCGUCGGACGGGCAGCUGGCACGGAAUGGAAGAUACAAAGACCUUCACUCAGUUCCUAGUAACUGAAUCAUGCUGAAUGUGUACUGAAGAUGCCAUAUUUGUUUCACAUUUAAACGGAAGUGACUCAUAGCUGUUCAAAACAUUCAGUGAGUGUACAGAAGAGCUGUCUGUGAAUCCUCUUCUUAUCACUGUAUUGAUUUUCUUGGAUGUAUGAUUAUCAAGUGAUUUAAAAAUUAUUUAUGCUACAUUAUAGGUUCUUCAGUGUACUGGGAGCAAAGCACUCCUAGGUUCUUUAAAGCAAGACAGUGCAAGGUGGAAUAGCUGUGGAUUGGAGACAGCAAGCAUGAGGCACAGAACGGAAGAGAGAGGAAUGUUAGGGAGCACUGGACUUUAGUUCAGGGAAAAUAAAAAAAGAGCUGGCUCUUGAGAAGAGUGGGUUGGCCCCUGCCGUCCGGUAUGAUUUGGUCUCAUGCUGAUCAGGGAGGAGAAGGCAAUGAAUGAACAACAGAGUUUACUGCCUGUGAAAAAAGGGAAAUAAAAAAAGAAGACUAGGCUCUUGAGAAGAGUGGGUUGGCCCCUGCCGUCCGGUAUGAUUUGGUCUCAUGCUGAUCAGGGAGGAGAAGGCAAUGAAUGAACAACAGAGUUUACUGCCUGUGAAAAAACUGAAAGACUCAGCAUGCUGCCCUAACUCACCAUGAUAGAUAGAUAGAUAGAUAGAUAGAUAGAUAGAUAGAUAGAUAGAUAGAUAGAUAGAUAGAUAGAUAGAUAGAUAGAUAGAUAGAUAGGUGGGUGGGUGGGUGGGUGGAAGGAAGGAAAUGCAUAGGUAAGUAGAUGAUUAGAUGUUCAUGGUUAGAUGGAUAGAUAC